GCUAAAUAGCUAGCUUAAUCACCUAAAUAAUUAUUACACUAUUAAAUUAUUUAACAUAGACCCCAACUCACUAAACCAAAACAUUCUACCGCCCUAGUAUGGGAGACAGAAAAGGCACCUUAUAAGCAAUAACAAAAGUACCGCAAGGGAACGCUGAAAGAGAAAUGAAACAAAUCAUCAAAGCACUACAAAGCAGAGAUUAACCCUCGUACCUUUUGCAUCAUGAUUUAGCCAGCACUACCGAGCAAAGAGUACUUUAGUUCCAAACCCCGAAACUAAGUGAGCUACCCCGGGACAGCCUAUAGAUUUAGGGCCAACCCGUCUCUGUGGCAAAAGAGUGGGAAGAUCCCCGGGUAGGGGUGACAGACCUAUCGAACUUAGUUAUAGCUGGUUGCCUAAGAAAUGAAUAGAAGUUCAGCCCGCAGCCCUCAACUCACACACUUAAUAUUUACCAUGAGUCAGAGUGACAUGCGAAAGUUAGUCAGAGGGGGUACAGCUCCUCUGAAACAGGACACAACCUUACCAGGAGGUUAAAGAUUAUAUUAACCAAGAUUACCGCUUUAGUGGGCCUAAAAGCAGCCACCAAUUAAGAAAGCGUUAAAGCUCAAGAGGACCAACUAUCUAUUAUUCAAAUAUUAAAUCUUAGACCCCUAAUUAUACUAGGCCGCCCUAUGCAUCCAUAGAAGAGAUUCUGCUAAAAUGAGUAACAAGAAGGGACCCCCCCCCCUUCUCCUUAGCCUAUGUGUAUGCUAGAUCGAACCCCCGCUGGCAAUUACCGAACCCAAUAAAAGAGGGCAUUGUGGUUUCCAUUAAGUAUCAAGAAAACCCCACACUAACCCAAUCGUUAACCCUACACCGGAAGGCUUAUAUGAGGAAAGACUAAAAAAAGGGGAAGGAACUCGGCAAACACAAGCCUCGCCUGUUUACCAAAAACAUCGCCUCCUGCAAAAAUCAAUGUAUAGGAGGUCUUACCUGCCCAGUGACAAGUUUAACGGCCGCGGUAUUUUGACCGUGCAAAGGUAGCGCAAUCACUUGUCUUUUAAAUAAAGACCUGUAUGAAAGGUGAAACGAGGGCUUAACUGUCUCCCCCUUUAAGUCAGUGAAAUUGAUCUGUCCGUGCAGAAGCGGGCAUAUGAAUACAAGACGAGAAGACCCUUCGGAGCUUUAGACACAAGAUCACCUAUGUCAAUGACAAGCUCUAAGUCAAACUAUAUAGCAGUCUGAUCUUAGUCUUUUGUUGGGGCGACCACGGGAAAAAACAAAGCUCCCAUGAGGACUGGGGUAAUAACCCUAAAACUAAGAAAGACAUUUCUAGGUCCCAGAACAUCUGACCACAUUGAUCCGGCUUAACGCCGACCAACGAACCAAGUUACCCUAGGGAUAACAGCGCAAUCCCCUUCCAGAGUCCAUAUCGACAAGGGGGUUUACGACCUCGAUGUUGGAUCAGGACAUCCUAAUGGUGCAGCCGCUAUUAAGGGUUCGUUUGUUCAACGAUUAAAGUCCUACGUGAUCUGAGUUCAGACCGGAGCAAUCCAGGUCAGUUUCUAUCUGUAUUGUUAUUUUUCCUAGUACGAAAGGACCGGAAAAAUGGGGCCUAUACUAAAAGCAUGCCCCACCCCUACUUAAUGUUACCGACUAAAUUAAAUAAA
rnacentral:rRNA from 1 species